AUUUGGAUUCCAGAGUACGCACUUGGUCACAACCGUUUGCCUUACAGAAGACAUCCCCGAAAUGUGGCUGAAAGGAAGAAGACCCUUGACGAAAGGGGUUGCCCGGAUAAAUGAUUCAUUGCCUAAAAGGAUAGACUUUUUAAAAUGUCAUUUUUAUUUUGGAAUGUAGGAAACUGGUUUCCCUGUCUCUUGAAGCAUCAUCACAGAGGCAUAAACUGAGGAGCAAAGCUUAUAACUGAGAGGUUUUAAAUGAACAGGGUAGGGGAAACAAACAAUAUCCCACCAGGAGAGAGGUCUGAUAGCUCAAGUCUGUCCUUUCCUCUCCUGGUCGCCUCACACGCAGAGGCAGCCUCACUGAACGUGCUGUGCAGCAACGACGUGACUCACGGUCAGCUAACAGAGCAGGAAGUCACCUGACGACAGAUGGGAAAGUCCAGAGUAGACUGAACGUACUUUUUAAGAAAAGGAAAUAAAGAAGGCAAUUUGUAGGGCUGUGUCACAAGGUUAGAAACCCCAAUUAUAUUUGAUAGUUCUGUGCAAGGCACUAGCCUGGGAAUGCAUUAAUCUGUAUAUCAAGUAAUUACUACCAUAUUUGGAAGCUAAGUAAGUAGGUCUCAGUCAUUAAAUAAAGAGCAGCAUUCUUGAUUGGAAGGAUGAAAUUAUGCAAUAAUCACUGGCUUUGGUUAAAUAAUAAAUUAAUUUCUGGGGUCUUGGCAGGGACGGUCACAUGCCGAAUUGUGAAGCAGAACAUUGGCUUUGUCAGUGUGGUUGUCCGCUUUGGGGAGUUCUUCCCUUUUCCCAGAGGUUUAGGGAGAGAAAUUGAAGUGUUUUAGUUAAUCAAUAAAACCAGAAAUAUAUGAGAACUUGUGUGCCAAGUCUGCAAGGGAGUAUGGGGCAAAUGGACAGGAAAAGAUCCUUGAGGAGCUCUAUCUAGUUGGGGGCAACAAGAUGUAAGCAUUUGGAAAGGUAAGUAAGAGUUUAAGAGUUGUUUCAAGGAAGAACAUGAUGGAUUACAAAAUAGCAAUGUCAAGAGGAUGUGUUGUGGGCAUUCAGAGAAAGGGGAGUUUAGUGUGGGCAAGGUAGAUAAGGGAAGUUUUUGGGCAAACAGUGGAUCUAGAGCUAUGCUACACUUUUAAAGCAGAAAGAAUCUAUAGAUAAGUAGCAAAGUCCAAAUCAGUUAUCCUAGGAAUGGCAGCAGGCAAGCAGAUAUUUGAAUGGGCUGGUGGUGCAGGUCCACAAGUCUAAAGAUCUGGGUUAAUCUUUGUUGAGAAAGACUGUUGAACAAAGGUGCCUCUAUUUCCUCAUCUGCAAAAUGGGUGCAAAAUACGUCCAACCUGCCAUCCAGGUUAAAUAAUUCUGUGAAUCUCAGUGUAAACUAUAACUCACGUAAUAACCUUAAGCUAUUGUUAAUGGUAACGUACGUACGAUGAUUUUAGGAAUAUAAUUUUGCGUAUACAGAUACUGCUUGACUUUAAGGACUAAAAUGGUAAUUUAAACAGCCAUAUAUAGGUUAUGAGGAAGAGUUCGAGGUAGGGGUGCUAACUGUAAAUAUCAAAUUGCAACAUGCAGGUGACCAAUGAGCACUUGCAUCAGCUUGCUCUGGGGUCUUGCUAGAAGCAGGAUGAGGACAUUUGUUUUUAAAAUAUUCUAACUAAUAAAGGUAUUUUCCUUUCUUUUCUCUUUCUUUCUUCCUUUCUUUCUUUCUUUCUUUCUUUUCUUUUCUUUCUUUCUUUUCUUUCUUUCUUUCUUUUCUUUCUUUCUUUCUUUUCUUUCUUUCUGUCUUUCUUUCUUCUUUCUCUCCUUCCUUCCUUCCUUCCUCCCUCCCUUUCUCUCUCUCUCUCCCUCUUUCUCUCUUUCCUUCUUUCUUUCUUUUUUUUUUUUGGAGUCUCACCUGUCUCCCAGGCUGGAGCACAAUGGCGCGAUCUCAGCUCACUGCAACCUCUGCCUCCUGGGUUCAAGAGAUUCUCCUGCCUCAGCCUCCUGAGUAGCUGGGAUUACAGGCACGCGCCACCAAGCCCAGCUAAUUUUUUUGCAUCUUUAGUAGAGACAGGGUUUCACCAUGUUGGCCAGGCUGCAGGUAUAAUCUUUCUAAGGAUCUUUUUGUUUUCUCUGGCUGUGAAGAUUGUUUGCUCUCAGUGUCCUAUAUGAACAUUACAUGUUUAAUCUGAACUUACGGAGCUUGCACAUUGCAUGGUAUACAGUAAGAGCCUAGUAUUGAAUGGGGAGCCCAUAAUAAAGAGCACAUAUAUUGAAUGGGGACGUUUUCUAGAUUUAAGACACAAUCUGGUAAUCAUUGCUUUUAAUUUGGGGAGUGGGAAGCAUUUUUUUCUCUUAACAUAUUGAUAGGAAACUAAUUGAUGUAUUUGUAGUGGGGUCAAAAUUCACACAUAUGAAUCACAUGUGCAUAAAUAAAAAAUAAAGAAGUGCAUCUUUAUUUUCCUUCACUGAGCUCAUCUUGCCCGGAGCCCCUGUUUUCAUUGACAGCAGUGUCUUGACAAUUUCCAUUCUUGACAAUUUUCUUGACAAUUUCCAGUCUUUCUGGGCUAAAAUAGUUCUUUGGGGGUAAAUAUUCAGUCCAUUGAAAGUUGAAACCCUCUUCCAGGGCAGUUUCUCCCCUCCCAAGAGUUCCUCUCUUCCUCCUUCUAUUCCUAGGUGAGAGAAUUGUGGGCUGGCAGAGAGAGGAGGGGCUCUGACCUUGUGUUGCCCUCUGCAGACUCAUGGCUUCUCCUGAGGAGCCUGCUCUCUGAGCUCUGCUGUACGCAGAGGAGUGAUUAGCCCCAUGCACCUCAGGUGCUGAGCUGGAGUUCCUGGCUGAUGUCAGGGGCCUGCUUACACUGUACGUGUAGGCCUGGACUCUGCACCCUGUCCCCAUCUACUCGGACGGUCCUACUUGCACCUACAUCCUCCCUCCUGCCCCCACCCCAUCCUCCUGUUGCUGUCUUAUUUCUAUAUUGCAGCACGUGAGACCGUGGGAGUUGCCCCAGGCUGGUUCUCCAGUUCUAGAUGACUGGAAGUCUGUGAAAGACUGGCUGUUUUCCUGGCUUACACUGUGCUCACAGAUUACCCCCAGACCUCUCUGACUGCCCUAUGAUGGCCCUUCCCCAUCUUCCUCCCUCUCAUUCGGCUCCUUUCCACAGCCCAGGAAGGCUGCCGUGGGGCUGUCGUGGGGGAACCCUUCUGUGGCCAGUGCUGUCCAUACCUACCCCUUGAUCGGCCCCCAGCAUUCAGCUCCUCAGACCACACAAGUGUCUUUUUAAAUCUUUUUUUUUUUUUUUUCUGAGUAAAGCAUGGCCUCUGCAGAACAGUGGUGUAUGCUUGCAGGCUUUAGUCUACCUGUAAUUUUCUAAGACCCAUUUUUACACGAAGAACAGUAAUGGCUCUCAUUCUCACUGGAUUCUGCCCAUUAGUUCAAUAGGUAAUGACAUAUAAGACAAUUAGGGAAAAGGAAUCACCAGAAACAAAUAAAUAUUUACUUAAUGCCUCAAAAAUGUUAUUCCUGUUACAAAUGUUUAAAGCAUUUUGGUAGCUGUGACACAUUUGUGAAGUGGGUGAUGGUGACAUCAAUUCUUUGAUUGGGAGGGGCUUGAUCAUUCAUUCUACAACUUCCAUGUUCCCAGGUUAUGAGUCACUCACAAAAUAUUUAUUCAGCAG
rnacentral:lncRNA from 10 species